rnacentral:lncRNA from 1 species
GUCUAUUGGAAGGGAAGGUGGCUGGGCCAGGGCUCAGGGCUGAGUACUGGAGACCCAGCUCCUUCCAGCUCUGCACAGAGCGGAGGAUCUGGGGCCCAGGUAGACUUCUCUUAAUGAAGUUGGUUCUUAAUGAAGAUCUAGAUACAGCAAAUGGUUGUUCCAGAAAAAUCUCAGCAGCACCUGGCCUCUCACGAACACCAGCGCCACAAAAGGGGCCAGCACAUCUCCGACUUCCUGUGCAAGAUGCUGUGUGGAAAGACAGCGUUUUUUUUUUUUCGUUAAGAUGCCAAUUUGGGGCUGGCGAGAUGUCUCUGCAGGGAAAGGCGCUUGCCAGGAAGCCUAACGACCCGAGGUCGUGAGCUGGUGGGAGAGAACCAACUCCUGCAAGUCAGCCUCUGACCUCCAUUUUCAGUUAUUUCCUUCUCCCCCCCCCCCAGCCACCCCUCCCCAAUCUCUAAUGUAAAUAAGAAAUACAGCAGGGUGGUGGUGGUGCACACCUUUAAUCCCAGCACUCGGGAGGCAGAGGCA